rnacentral:rRNA from 1 species
GUCGAGCGGACAGAUGGGAGCUUGCUCCCUGAUGUUAGCGGCGGACGGGUGAGUAACACGUGGGUAACCUGCCUGUAAGACUGGGAUAACUCCGGGAAACCGGGGCUAAUACCGGAUGGUUGUUUGAACCGCAUGGUUCAAACAUAAAAGGUGGCUUCGGCUACCACUUACAGAUGGACCCGCGGCGCAUUAGCUAGUUGGUGAGGUAACGGCUCACCAAGGCAACGAUGCGUAGCCGACCUGAGAGGGUGAUCGGCCACACUGGGACUGAGACACGGCCCAGACUCCUACGGGAGGCAGCAGUAGGGAAUCUUCCGCAAUGGACGAAAGUCUGACGGAGCAACGCCGCGUGAGUGAUGAAGGUUUUCGGAUCGUAAAGCUCUGUUGUUAGGGAAGAACAAGUACCGUUCGAAUAGGGCGGUACCUUGACGGUACCUAACCAGAAAGCCACGGCUAACUACGUGCCAGCAGCCGCGGUAAUACGUAGGUGGCAAGCGUUGUCCGGAAUUAUUGGGCGUAAAGGGCUCGCAGGCGGUUUCUUAAGUCUGAUGUGAAAGCCCCCGGCUCAACCGGGGAGGGUCAUUGGAAACUGGGGAACUUGAGUGCAGAAGAGGAGAGUGGAAUUCCACGUGUAGCGGUGAAAUGCGUAGAGAUGUGGAGGAACACCAGUGGCGAAGGCGACUCUCUGGUCUGUAACUGACGCUGAGGAGCGAAAGCGUGGGGAGCUGAGACAGGAUUAGAUACUCU